AGCAAUACUUCGCUGAUACGGGAAUGGAACCGAAACCUAUAUAAGCAGUGGCGGAUUAACACGAGUGUAGGCCCUAAGCUCUCAAUCCCCUAUUCCUUCCCAAUACGUCCCCGUCGUACAGAAUGGUAACAUAUCUUUCAAUUAUCCAUGCUAGGGUAUACGGUGAAACCCAACUUCUUGGGCGGAUGGUUUGCAUGACUAAAUUGAGAAUG
rnacentral:ribozyme from 1 species